CUAUACAUGCAGUCGAGCGACAGAUAAGGAGCUUGCUCCUUUGACGUUAGCGGCGGACGGGUGAGUAACACGUGGGUAACCUACCUAUAAGACUGGGAUAACUUCGGGAAACCGGAGCUAAUACCGGAUAACAUUUGGAACCGCAUGGUUCUAAAGUGAAAGAUGGUUUUGCUAUCACUUAUAGAUGGACCCGCGCCGUAUUAGCUAGUUGGUAAGGUAACGGCUUACCAAGGCGACGAUACGUAGCCGACCUGAGAGGGUGAUCGGCCACACUGGAACUGAGACACGGUCCAGACUCCUACGGGAGGCAGCAGUAGGGAAUCUUCCGCAAUGGGCGAAAGCCUGACGGAGCAACGCCGCGUGAGUGAUGAAGGGUUUCGGCUCGUAAAACUCUGUUAUUAGGGAAGAACAAACGUGUAAGUAACUGUGCACGUCUUGACGGUACCUAAUCAGAAAGCCACGGCUAACUACGUGCCAGCAGCC
rnacentral:rRNA from 1 species